GUAUCAAAGUCUCACUGGUCUUCAGGAAUAUAAGUCCUCCUUAAUUUUCCAAGUUGUCAUUGUCCCUCACUAGCUUUUCCUUGAAAAGGACUUUUGAUGUUCCGUCGUUCUCUGGGUACUGAGCUGUCCUUCAUGAGUUCUUGAAGAUAAUCCACUUUAAAAUUGCUUUAUACUGAGAACUUCAUCAGAUCUGCCAACUGAAAUACAUCUCAAUUUUCUAAAUUGCUAACAAGGAAAACAUGAAAUAAGUUUUUGCUCCUUGAAUUUUAUUGGACAUUUCUCUAAAAUUAAUGUCAAUAUUUAUUUUACUAGUUCAUCUGUAGACUAAUAAUUUUACUUAAGAAUUCUCAGCUGUAAUGAACAAACACUUCCAGUAUUAUAGCUGGUUUAAUGGGUCUUAAUACAUAAUUAAAGUUUUGGAAAUGUACAGCUUUACAAUUAGUCAUUUUUAUCUUUAAAGGAAUCUUCUGCAAAAUAAAAUAUUGCACACAACCAUGAGAAUGUCUUAUUGUAUUGUUCAUCUUUACAGACUCUUUGCUUAUUUUAUGAGGUUAAAAAUGAUUUCCAGAUUCUACAUUUUUUUUUAGAUUUUUUGCUAUUGAAGUACCAGUUUAUCGACAGCCAUGUGAUUUAUAUCAAUUUACAUACUGUAUAAUAAUCCCUCCUAUCUGAAAUUUCAGCACUUUUUUAAAAAUGUAUAUGUAACUGAGUUUUGUUGAAUGCUUCCCAUAUGAAAAUGUGGUCUUUCAAGCAAAUACAUUAAGAAAAUUAAAAUGGGACUGGUUUCUCUGUAAAAUAUCACAUGUAGCUGUAAAAAGCUGCAAAGGCCCCAAACAGCUUUGGUUCAUUCACCUGCAAAAGCCCCAAACAGCUAAUUUUGUUCACUUAAGAAAAUGUUUUCAAAUCAGCAACCAAGUAUCAUAUGUAGUAGUGGCUGAUGGUAUGCUCAUAUGCAUGUGUGCGCACACAUGUGCAUGAUUAAAUUCAUUAAUCUGUCUUCAGCAAAAGGAAGUUCAGACCAUCUCGGAGAAGAUAUUCUCAAGUUUUGCAGAUCUCAAUAUUCCCAGGAACAGGAGCUCAACUCUCGUACUAACAACUCUGUGCGGCACUGGCACUGUAAACUAACUUUCAGUAUCUUGUUUCAGAACUAUUUUGCAAGACCUUCAGCAGAAACGUUUUUACUGAACAAUUUUGACAGAUGUUUUCCAAAGAGAAACAUUUUUCCUAAUUAG
rnacentral:lncRNA from 1 species